rnacentral:rRNA from 1 species
GACGAACGCUGGCGGCGUGCUUAACACAUGCAAGUCGAACGAAGUGGCGAACGGGUGAGUAACGCGUAAUCAACCUGCCCUUCAGAGGGGGACAACAGUUGGAAACGACUGCUAAUACCGCAUACGGAAGGAGGGGAUUGGGGCUGAUUAGCUAGUUGGAGGGGUAACGGCCCACCAAGGCGAUGCUCAGUAGCCGGUAUGAGAGAGGGAACUGCAACAUGUGGACGUAGACACGGCCCAGACUCGUACGGGAGGCAGCAGUUGGGAAGUUUCCGCAAUGGACGAAAGUCUGACGGAGCAACGCGGCGUGAGUGAUGACGGCCUUCGGGUUGUAAAGCUCUGUUAAUCGGGACGCGGUACCUGAAUAGAAAGCCACGGCUAACUACGUGCCAGCAGCCGCGGUAAUAC